GCGUGGAGACAGGUGGUGCAUGGCUGUCGUCAGCUCGUGUCGUGAGAUGUUGGGAUAAGUCCCGCAACGAGCGCAACCCUCACCCCUAGUUGCCACCGGGUAAAGCCGAGCACUCGAGGGGAACUGCCAGCGUCAAGCUGGAGGAAGGCGGGGAUGACGUCAAGUCAUCAUGCCCCUUACGUCCUGGGCUACACACGUGCUACAAUGGCUAGUACAGAGGGAUGCGAGACCGCGAGGUGGAGCUAAUCCCAAAAAGCUGGUCUAAGUUCAGAUUGCAGUCUGCAACUCGACUGCAUGAAGUAGGAAUCGCUAGUAAUCGCGCAUCAGCACGGCGCGGUGAAUACGUUCCCGGGCCUUGUACACACCGCCCGUCACACCACGAAAGCUGGCUGUACUCGAAGUCGCUGAG
rnacentral:rRNA from 1 species